AAGAGCUAGUUAUAGGUGUAAUGGAUAGCAUUACGACAAUUGAUGGGGAUUUCUGUGGCGGUGAAAGAGCCUUCCCUGAAUUGAGGAAAUUUUGCUUAUGCCGUAUGGGAAACCUCAAGUUGUGGGAGACAAUGUACUCCUAUGACAUGGGUAGUGUGAAGAAAUUCAUGUUCCCAAACCUUGUGGAAUUGUUAAUACGUGAUUGCCCAAAUUUAAGAUUGAAACCAUGCCCACCUAGAGCUAAGAGAUGGGAAAUUGAGAGCAGCGAUAAUGUAUUAUCAUCAUGGGGAGAGAAUCUGUCAUGCAACUCAUUAGACAUAAUUGGAGACCUCUCGUUUAUCAAAUCAUUGUUGCUAGAAGAUAAUACUCAGCCAGAACAUCCGAAAUGGUUGGGUGGCCUCAGCUCUAUCCGGAAAAUGGACAUCACAAGGUGUAAAGAGCUGUCUGAUUUGCCUGGGAGCAUGCGAUAUCUGACAUCCCUCCAGGAGCUUUCUUUGAUAGAUUGUCCAAGAAUAAAAGUGCUGCCAGAAUGGUUGGGUGAUCUUACUGCUCUGAAGAAACUUCAGAUCCGGUAUUGUAGGGGUAUCAACUCUUUGCCACAGAGCAUACAGAAGCUUACCAAGCUUAAAGGACUAGCUAUUUACCACUGCCUUGAAUUGGUAGAGUGGUGUAAUUUAGAGAAGAACAAGAACAUGCUGGCUCACAUAAAAGUAAAGGUAUAUGUCCCGCCAUGCUAUCUGCCAUGUCCUACUUAUCUUGACAGUAGCCAAAUUAAACUACACGGUGAUGCAUUUUCAUCUGCAACAUCCCUACAAGUCUUGGAUUUAAGCAAGUGCCACAUAUACAAGUUGCCAGCUUGCAUCAGUGAAUUGGUGAAAUUGAGGUAUCUCAAUGCCCCCAAGAUUCAAAGUCAAACAAUCCCGUAUUGUAUCACCAAGCUCUCGAAACUAAUUUACCUCAACCUAAGUUGGUCCAGGAUGUUAGCAUUGCCUGAGUCAAUUGGUGACUUGAGAUGUUUGAUGCAUCUUGACAUCUCGAAUUGUGAAUUUAUAGAUAACCUCCCAAAAUCAUUUGUGAAUCUCAAAAGGUUGGAAUAUCUGGAUUUAUCAAACAACAGUCAGCUUAGAGGUCUAUCAAAAGCUUUGGGUGGCCUAACCAACAUCCAAUACUUGAAUUUAUCAAUGCAAAUAGGUUAUGUAUUGGGUCAAUUUCUUGAGGGGCUGCCAGAGGUCAUUGGUAAUCUAAUUGGACUCCGUUAUUUAGGUCUAUCACAUACCACACGAUCCAUCUUCUGGAAUUCGAGCUCAGAUGAACUAUUCAGUUUCAUUGACCGUAUAUGUACCCUUUCUAAUCUGCAGCAUCUGGACUUGUCUAAUAAUGAUAGUAUAGUAAGUGUUCCUGAGAGUAUUGGCAACCUCAGGAAUCUGCAUACACUGGACCUCUCUUGCUGUUCACAUCUAGUGAGGCUUCCAGAAUGUUUGGUUAGAAUGGAUAAUGUGAAGAUCUUGAAUGUCACCGGGUGCCGCAAACUGGAAAAAUCUGCACUGUCCCGAUCAAAGAUUUUUGACUUGUUGCCACAUUUCGUGGUCCAAGCUGAUGAAGGUGAAUCUAGCAGCAACAUCGGUCUUCUACAGUACGCAAAUCCUAAUGAGUUGCACAUAACUUGCCUUGAUAAUGUAAAGUCUGCAGAAGAGGUCCAGAGUAUAAAGCUGAUAGAAAAACAAGGGAUUAAUGAUUUGAAACUUCAAUGGACCAGUGAUGCUUGCAGGUCUGUUGAGGAUAUGGAAGUGAUGGCAAGUCUUGUGCCACCAAGCACCUUGAGGGAAUUUAAUAUGACAGGCUACAAUAAUGUGAGCUUUCCGCCCUGGCUUAUGAACAUAAAGCUUUAUCUACCGGAACUUAGCAAGAUUGAACUGUGGCAUAUAUGUAAAUGCAACAGCUUGCCUGCAUUAGGUCAAUUACAAAACCUUAGAGAGCUAAUUAUUGGAGAAAUGGACAGCAUUACGAUCAUCGAAGAGGAUUUUUGUGGUGGUGCAAGGGCCUUCCCUCAGCUGAAGAGAUUUUGUCUAUACCACAUGGAAAAUCUGGAAGCAUGGAAGACGAUGUACUCCAAUGGCAAGGAUGUUGAGAAAGAAUUCAUGUUCCCUAACCUUAAGGAGCUGUCAAUAAAUGAUUGCCCAAAGUUGAGAAUGGAACCAUGCCUUCCUAGAGCAAAGAAAUGGGAGAUAGAGAACAGCAAUAAUGUAUUAUCAUUAUGGGGAGAAACUCGUGCUACCUCCUCUGUUGCACCUAUGGAUGUGAGUGUAACAGUCAGAUCUGACAAAGCGCCUUUGGAUCAGUGGAAGUUCUUUCACGACCUCCCUUCCCUGAGUACUUUACACAUCACAUGUUGCACUGAUCCGACAUGCAGCUCCAAUAUGCUAAGCCAAUUCCUGUUCAACAUCAUGUCACGGUGGUACACAAAUUCUAAUGAUUUGUACAUAACUAAUCUGAUGAAAAGACAAGUUAUCAACGAUUUGAAACUACAGUGGACUAGAGAUGCUGGGCGUUCUGUGGAGGAUGUGGAAGUACUGGGAAAGCUUGUGCCACCAAGUAGUUUGAGGGAAUUUAAUAUGACAGGUUACAACAGUGUGAGGUUUCCUGCCUGGGUUAUGGACAUUACGCUUUAUCUCCCAAGUCUUAGCAAGAUUGAAUUGUGGGAUAUACGCAAAUGCAACAGCUUACCACCACUUGGCCAAUUAACAAACUUGCAAGAGCUAGUUAUAGGUGUAAUGGAUAGCAUUACGACAAUUGAUGGGGAUUUUUGUGGCGGUGCAAGAGCCUUCCCUGAAUUGAGGAAAUUUUGCUUAUGCCGUAUGGGAAACCUCAAGUUGUGGGAGACAAUGUACUCCUAUGACAUGGGUAGUGUGAAGAAAUUCAUGUUCCCAAACCUUGUGGAAUUGUUAAUACGUGAUUGCCCAAAUUUAAGACUGAAACCAUGCCCACCUAGAGCUAAAAGAUUGGAAAUAGAGAGCAGCGAUAAUGUAUUAUCAUCGUGGGGAGAGUGGGGAGCAUCCAGUGUGUCCUCUGUUUCACU
rnacentral:lncRNA from 1 species